rnacentral:snoRNA from 1 species
CACACAUGGAUACUCCCGGGAGGUCACUCUCCCUGGGCUCUGUCCAGGUGGCAUGGAGGAGCUCAGGGCACUGCCCCUUGAUGGGCAGUCCUGUUCCACAACAUCGGAGAUCAAGCCUGGCCUUGGUCUGCACCCACAUAUUCCUACCGCUUCUCUGAGUGACUGAGGAGACAACCCGUGCAGGAAACAGCC